AUGUACGGCCAUACCACCCUGAACACUCCCGAUCUCAUCUGAUCUCGGAAGCUAAGCAGGGCCAGGCCUGGUUAGUACUUGGAUGGGAGACCACCUGGGAAUACUGGGUGCUGUAGGCU
rnacentral:rRNA from 1 species